GCGGGAGCCCUGCACGAAUGGUGCUCAAACCCCGUCAGCGAUGCACACCAGUUUACAUAAAAAUGGCCAUUUCACUUGGAAUUGACGAAAACUCUGGAAAAAUUGACUAAAACUGUGGAAACUGUCUUAUUUAUAAGUAGGGCUCUUACUACUUUGAGCUUUAGAUGUGGCUACCAAGGGAUGUGCGUCUAUUAAAGCCACGCAGGGCAAACUCAGGCAUUUUAUUAGCUUGGUUUCAAGCCAACGGACGCGGUUGGUCUUUUCUUCUGGCUCCAAGAGCGACACAAGAUGCCGAUCCCGUCUCCCCAACCUCCGGAGAAAGACCCUGGGAUGGUAUUUCAGACGGUCAACGGCAACGUGAUUUUUGCAUCCGUUUCUCUUCCUGUUUCAACUAAGGUGGAAGCCUGUGAGGUUGAUGAACUCCGAGAAGCGAGAUUACACGGAGUGAAGAAAAGCCAGGAGCAAGCGAAGGAAAGGAACGGAGGAAAAUACAAGCCAAGUAUGAGGGCACCGCGCGAGGCGGGAAGGGGAAGUGUCUUUCGGCCUGGUGUCUCUGGGGAAGAGACCCCUCGCUCCCGGGAGCUGGGCAAAGCACCGGUGCAGAUGGCAAACGAGCUGCUCAUCUCCGCAGGAACCACAAACCUGAGGGACGCCGAAAAGCGGGAGAUACCGUCUUUACUUCACUCAGAGCAGGGAUGGCAGCAGCAGCUGUGAAACAUCCUUUUCCUAGGGGGUACAACUCAGAACGCUACAAAUCCGAGAAAUAAAGGGGGGGGGGGAACAAAACCA
rnacentral:lncRNA from 1 species